UCCUCCUUAGCUCAGUUGGUUAGAGCAUCUGACUGUUAAUCAGAGCCCCGAAAGCUUUCGGGGUUGGUUCUCCCGAUAGCUAUCAAGACAAGAGGAG
rnacentral:tRNA from 1 species